ensembl:lncRNA
UUAUUGUGUUCCUCUGAGCCAAACUCCCAUGUUUCCUCCUUUCUCAGAGCUGUAAUCCUGGGUGUGGGCCCCACACAAAAUUACCCCGCUGCUCGGUGCCAGAGAACGUCUCCAAGCCAUGCGCCCGCCCAGGCUCGGGUGGACAUUUCUGGGGCAAGCCCGGAAUAUGUGUGGGGAGGGGAUGUCAGGGGGGCUCCUCCGGGCCCCAGUGUGUUUGGAACCUGUGGGGACCUCUUAGAUAAAGUGUUGGUUGCACCUCGUGUUGGUGAGCAAAGCACCAGGAAUGGGGAGCUGCAAGGGAGGGCAGACAGCCACCUCUGUGACCGCUGGUCAUCAGGUCCAUGGAGGACUUCGUGGCAAUUGCAAAUGUUGCCUUGCCAGCUGCACAAUCUGCAUUAACAAACCCAUAUGUCUCUUGACACUUUAAAAUUAUUUAGAAGCUUAUUUAUACACACGUGCGUACAUAUGCGUGAGCACACAAAAUGGCUCUGAAAUAAAGAUAGCAGAACAACCGUACAAGGAACCCUAAAACCUCACCGACCAAAGAACAACGAGCAAACAAGUCCACAAGCCAAUAUAACCUAAAAAUGAAUGAAAACGGGCUUCAGCUUUAUGCAGAAGUGAUGCUCUUCAUGCCAGUGGUGUUCUUAGACGCAUAUUAAAGGGAGAAUAUUCCAAAACAAGAAGGCAGGCUGUGCUGCCCGUAGGCUCAAGCUUGGAAUAAUCAAAAUGUAAUGCUUGCUGUAAAUUGCUGCUAAUAUAUUAAUCUUCUAAAAACAAAGUAAGACUGGAAAGCUGAAGUUAAUGGGAUGCUUUUGCUGAUGGAACUGUCAGACUAAUUCUGACCUCUGCCAAGAAGCGAGCAUGUUGUUCACAGAACAGGAAAAAAAGCAACUGUAGGGGUCAAAUCAAUAUGACAGGAUUUUUAGAUGGGUGGCCCUUUUGAAUGGAUAUGCAGUCAUUAAACAUCUAAAAAAAAAAAAAAAAAAGCUGUGCUUUUAUGCUAAGAUAUAUAUAUACGUAAAUUUUGAGGGAGGGACAAAGUUGUUAGCAAUUCCCUUCAGGUCCCAGAUUUUACCUAAAUCCAGAUGGCUGAACUACAGGAGUCCGUUAUUCUUUAAGGAAAAUCUGGAAGUUUAAGAGCAAUUUAGCAAGAGUCAAUUAAUCAAAACUACCAGAAGUGUGCUGGGAUGGCUGCAUACGAGGAGGAAAGAUAUAUUUCAUACUGUCUUAGUCAAGGAUGUUAACAAUUCUGUGAAACUCCUUGAAAGCGACGUGGGAAGUCCCCAUUUAUUUGCUGGUGGGCUAAGGGUAUGGCACAGCAGCUGCUCUCCGGGGCGUGAGAGCAGACCACUGAGUCCGUGCCUGGACCAUGAACUCCUUUAACUCUGUGUAAGCCAAGGGCUCCACCUAUGUGAAGCACUAGCAUCCUUUGGAAGAUGUACUUGGACGCGAGGAAAGCUUUGAAGGCUGUGCAGAUGGCCUUCACCCCAGAACAGUGCCAACAAGAACCAUCUCUCCUUCUAGGACCGGCAUGGUGCCUCACUUUCAAAAAAAACUAUCAGAAAAAAAAAAAAGGAUUAAUAAGAUUUGAAGUCACACAACUGGAGAUCUAGGCUCUCCUUGGUCACUGGUGAUGCCUUCAGUGAAGCCUGAGCUGGUGAUCAGCUCCUCAGGAAGGAUACGCCAGCCAGAGCAUGGCAAAGGCAGGAGAGCAAAACGCUUGUGAAAUGGUGGCUGUGUCAGCCGGGGGGUUGGCCUGGCACAAAAUGGCCAUGGGAGGAGGUUUGACAAUUCAAUAGCGUUAAUUCCUUAGAAAACAGAAAAAUCAAUUAAACGUUGGAUACUUGCUAGGAAAGCACAGUAGCGGCAAGCAAUCCUCUUUUUUUUUUUUUUUUUUUUUACCCUUGAUAAUUCAGGCAAGUAUUUAUAUUUUGAACUGUAAUCUCUCUUUUUCAUAGCGUGAUUCGGCUAUUUACUAUUAAAAGCAGUGUAUCUAGCCACUAUUUUUGUAGGUCACUAGAGGGAUUUAAAGAAACUUCAGCAACAGGAUUUCGGAUGCGGAAAAUCCUCAAAAAAAAAAAAAUCCAUAGGCUAGCAAGACACUGUAUAUCCAUUUUGGCUUGCAUUUUCCAUGUAAAUGCAUCUCCG